rnacentral:rRNA from 1 species
CCUACGGGAGGCAGCAGUGGGGAAUUUUCCGCAAUGGGCGAAAGCCUGACGGAGCAAUACCGCGUGAGGGAAGAAAGCCUACUGGGUUGUAAACCUCUUUUUUCAGGGAGGAAAAAAAUGACGUGUACCUGAAGAAUAAGCAUCGGCUAACUCCGUGCCAGCAGCCGCGGUAAGACGGAGGAUGCAAGUGUUAUCCGGAAUUACUGGGCGUAAAGCGUCUGUAGGUGGUUUAAUAAGUCAACUGUUAAAUCUUGAGGCUUAACUUCAAAACAGCAGUCGAAACUAUUAGACUAGAGUAUAGUAGGGGUAAAGGGAAUUUCCAGUGGAGCGGUGAAAUGCGUAGAUAUUGGAAAGAGCACCGAUGGCGAAAGCACUUUACUGGGCUAUUACUAACGCUCAGAGACGAAAGCUAGGGUAGCAAAUGGGAUUAGAUACCCCAGUAGUCCUAGCUGUAAACAAUGGAUACUAGAUGUUGAACAGAUCGACCUGUGCAGUAUUAAAGCUAACGCGUUAAGUAUCCCGCCUGGGAAGUAUGCUCGCAAGAGUGAAACUUAAAGGAAUUGACGG